UACAGAGGUCUCAAGCGUUGUUCGGAUUCAUUGGGCGUAAAGGGUGCGUAGGCGGCGCGGUAAGUCAGGUGUGAAACCUCCAGGCUCAACCUGGAGACGCCACUUGAUACUGCUGUGACUGGAGUCCGGGUAGGGGAGCGUGGAAUUGCCUGGUGUAGCGGUGGAAAUGCGCAGUAUAUCAGGAGGAACACCAGCGGCGAAGGCGGGCGCUCUGGGCCGGGUACUGACACUGAGGAGCGAAAGCGUGGGUAGCAAACAGG
rnacentral:rRNA from 1 species